rnacentral:rRNA from 1 species
UUGAAACACCACUUCCUGUACAAUCACUGAAGUUAAGCAACAUUGAGACUGGUCAGUACCUAGAUGGGUGACUGCUUAGGAAUACCAGGUGCUGUAAG